rnacentral:rRNA from 1 species
AGGGUUUGAUCCUGGCUCAGGAUGAACGCUAGCGGCAGGCCUAACACAUGCAAGUCGAGGGGUAACAGGGAGAAGCUUGCUUUUCCGCUGACGACCGGCGCACGGGUGCGUAACGCGUAUACAAUCUGCCUUAUACUGGGGUAUAGCCUUUAGAAAUGAAGAUUAAUCCCCCAUAGUCUCUUAGAGUGGCAUCAUUUUAGGAGUAAAGGUUACGGUAUAAGAUGAGUAUGCGUUCUAUUAGUUUGUUGGUGAGGUAACGGCUCACCAAGGCUACGAUAGAUAGGGGCCCUGAGAGGGGGAUCCCCCACACUGGUACUGAGACACGGACCAGACUCCUACGGGAGGCAGCAGUGAGGAAUAUUGGACAAUGGAGGCAACUCUGAUCCAGCCAUGCCGCGUGCAGGAAGACUGCCCUAUGGGUUGUAAACUGCUUUUAUAUAGGAAGAAACCUACUUACGUGUAAGUAGCUGACGGUACUAUAAGAAUAAGGAUCGGCUAACUCCGUGCCAGCCGCCGCGGUAAUAC